GACGAACGCUGACGGCGUGCUUAACACAUGCAAGUCGAAGGGAGUGGCGAACGGGUGAGUAAUACGUGGGUAACCUGCCCUUUUCUUUGGGAUAAGCCUGGGAAACUGGGCUUAAUACCGGAUGGAAUGGGAUGGGCUCGCGGUCUAUUAGUUUGGUGGUGGGGUGAUGGCUUACCAAGGCUUUGACGGGUAGCCGGCCGGAGAGGGGGGUCAGUCACACUGGGACUGAGAUACGGUCCAGACUCCUACGGUGGGCAGCAGUGGGGAAUAUUGCACAAUGGGCGCAAGCCUGAUGCAGCCAUGCCGCGUGUAUGAAGAAGGCCUUCGGGUUGUAAAGUACUUUCAGCGGGGAGGCGUUACCCGCAGAAGAAGCACCGGCUAACUCCGUGCCAGCAGCCGCGGUAAUUC
rnacentral:rRNA from 1 species